GCAUGGACGAAUUCUGUUCCAGCUGGUCUGUGGUGGAUACAGUCAGACACCAUGCAAAAGCCUAGUCUCAUUUCUGCCAAAUGACUGGGUGAGUGCUUCCCUCAGCCUCAUCCAACUAUACAGGAAUGAGUACAAUG
ensembl:snoRNA